GAUAAACGCUGGCGGCGUGCCUAAAACAUGCAAGUCGUACGGGCUUCGGCUUCGGCCGGAGUCAGUGGCGGACGGCUGAGUAACACGUGGGUGACCUACCUCCGAGCGGGGGAUAACUGCCCGAAAGGGUGGCUAAUACCGCAGACGUUGUCGGAUCGUACCGGCAACUCAACCCGCAAGGGGCUUGGAGAGGGGCCCGCGGCCGAUUAGCUUGUUGGUGGGGUAAUGGCCUACCAAGGCGACGAUCGGUAGCUGGUCUGAGAGGAUGAUCAGCCAGACUGGGACUGCGGCACGGCCCAGACUCCUACGGGAGGCAGCAGUUAGGAAUUUUGGGCAAUGGGGGAAACCCUGACCCAGCAACGCCGCGUGGGUGACGAAGGCCUUCGGGUUGUAAAGCCCUUUUCCAGGGGAAGAUAGUGACGGUACCCUGGGAAUAAGCCCCGGCUAACUACGUGCCAGCAGCCGCGGUAACAC
rnacentral:rRNA from 1 species